GCUUUGAAAGAAACGACUGCACAUGCCACCCAAGAUCCUCUGAGAGCCACUAUUGCACAUGCUACCCGAGGUGCUUCAAGAGGUGCUGCUGCACGUGCCAUCCGAAGGGUUUUAAGUGGUGCUGCAGCACCUGCUACCCAAGGUGCUUCCAGGGGUGCUGCUGCACCUGCUACGGAAGGUGCUCUGAAAGGUGUUGGUGCAUGUGUUAUUCGAGAUGCUGCCAAAGGUGCUCCUGCAUAUGCCGUGCCACAACCAGGUUGGGCUUUAUCCCAGUUGCAGGUGCUUCCCAAGAAACGCAAGGAAAAAAACUAUAAACUUAGAUCUUCAGGUAGUCCGGAAAGAAAGAAAAAGAGACCCAGUGAAGCAGAGCACAAAUGGGUGUCAUACAGUGUCACAAAUGCUCCUCAAGUUCAGCAAGGAUACCCAUGGAAUGGCUUCCCCAAACCUGAUAUUCCAAGGCCUCUGAGACGUAAGAUCCCUGUGUUGCUACCACCCCAUAGUCGAGGUGUUCUGCCCCAACCCCCAAAACAAUGGUUUCAUAUCACUGUACACAACUGUGGCCUAGAGAAGGAAGCUGCACCUUGAAGGGUGAUGGUGCCAAGGCCUGGGGUCAUUAAAUGACCUGUGCAUAGCCACAUGUCACUGAGCACUUAAUGCUGAUCUUCAAUUCUGAGCAUCCAGUUUUUAUACUCUAUAAAUUUAGUAUAAUAUCACAUUCUAUGUUAGAGUCAUUUGACACUUAAAUAAAAUUGUUAUCCAGUA
rnacentral:lncRNA from 1 species